rnacentral:rRNA from 1 species
CACGUAGGGGGCGAGCGUUGUCCGGAUUUAUUGGGCGUAAAGAGCUCGUAGGCGGCUCGGUAAGUCGGGUGUGAAACCUCCAGGCUCAACCUGGAGACGCCACCUGAUACUGCUGUGGCUAGAGUCCGGUAGGGGAGUGUGGAACUCCUGGUGUAGCGGUGAAAUGCGCAGAUAUCAGGAAGAACACCAGCGGCGAAGGCGGCACUCUGGGCCGAAACUGACGCUGAGGAGCGAAAGCGUGGGGAGCAAACAGG